UAUACAUGUACCCAAUCAAACAGUACCAAGGGAGUAGCUUAUCAACUAUUCUCCUAAGUAAGAAGAGACAUCCUUUUUAGGAUUCUAUAACUGUAAAAUUCUUUGGCUACAGAUUGUUGCAUCUGCCACUUCGUCAAAGGCGAAAAUACCUGAAGGAUUUAUUUGGUGACGGCAAGUGGGUUAUUUCGAGUUUGCGACAGAAAAUGACUGUAAAGUCUGAUGAUUCUUGUGCAGAUAACGAAGCCACAUUGGGUAGGAUGAACAC